rfam:TPA: Bos taurus chromosome 4, whole genome shotgun sequence.
GCCUAUGGCCAUACCACCCUGAAUGCUCCCGACCUCAUCUGAUCUUGGAAGCUAAGCAGGGUCGGGCCUGGUUAGUACUUGGAUGGGAGAAAGAAGUUUCAAAGGAG